rnacentral:rRNA from 1 species
GACGUAGGGGGCGAGCGUUGUCCGGAUUUAUUGGGCGUAAAGCGUGCGUAGGCGGCUGCGCAAGUCGGUUGUGAAACCCCGGGGCUCAACCCCGGAACUGCAUCCGAUACUGCGUGGCUAGAGGUAGGUAGGGGAGAUCGGAAUUCCUGGUGUAGCGGUGAAAUGCGCAGAUAUCAGGAGGAGCACCGGUGGCGAAGGCGGAUCUCUGGGCUGACACUGACGCUCAUGCACGAAGGUCAGGGGAGCAAACGGG